ensembl:lncRNA
AAACAAAGAAAAAAAGGAAUACAAAGCAAAAAAAAAUAGAUGACAACAAAAUAAAGCAAAAAAGAAUGGAGGAAUCUGUCCAGAGCUGUGCCCCUGCUUGCCACAGGAGCUGCGCGGGAGGAGAAGAACGUGGGCCAAAAGGAAUGGAGGAAUCUGUCCAGAGCUGUGCCCCUGCUUGCCACAGGAGCUGCGCGGGAGGAGAAGAACGUGGGCCAAAAGGAAUGGAGGAAUCUGUCCAGAGCUGUGCCCCUGCUUGCCACAGGAGCUGCGCGGGAGGAGAAGAACGUGGGCCAAAAGGUAAGAGGAGCUCCUUUGGGUUCUGGGCUUGAAGCAAAGCUGAGAAGCCAUGCCCGGGAGGAGGUGUGGGUAGCUACAGGCCACCUUGCUAUCUCCCCAAGAGAUGAGGUGUGUGGGCUAGGCACCGGGCAGGGUGCUGGCCAGAAGCAAGCAUCUCUGUGGAGGAAGGCAAAGGGCGGAGGAGGUUCAAGGGUAG